rnacentral:lncRNA from 1 species
UGAGAAUGGGUUGGGUAAUUGACAAUGUUGAACCUGUCAGACACAACUUUGUUUGAUCUCCUUGAACCUAGCUCUUGGGAUCUCCAGUCUGCUAGGUAGAGUUACCGCCAUGCUGACUUGUCCUAGGCCUUAAACCCAUUCCCUUGGAUGUCCUUUCUACUCCUUCUCUAGAUAGGUCUUUUGUAAGUGGAUUCGAACAUUAUCCUUUGACUUUACAUAGUCUACAGUGAUAAUUUCAUUAGAGAGAAGUUCUCUAACAGUAUACUGAUGCCAUUGGCUUGGGCUAAUACAAAAUAUCUUCCAAGAAAUUUUGGAGCCAUUCUACUUCUUCACCGACUUUAUCUAAUGCGAUAAAUUCUUAUUUCAUUGUAGAGCGAGCGAUACAAGUCGGUUUGGAUGAUUUCCAAGAAACUGCUCCUCCACUGAUAGUUAAAAUAUAUCCACUUGUGGAUUUUACUUCAUUUGAUCCGGUGAUCCAAUUUGCAUCACUAUAUCCUUCAAGUACCGCAGGAUAUUUAUUAUAAUGCAAAGCAUAGUUUUGAGUGUAUUUAAGAUACCCCAAAACUCUUUUCAUUGCCAUCCAGUGAAUUUUGUUGGGAUUACUCAUGUACCGACUCAAUUUACUAAUAGCGCAUGCUAUGUCUGGUCGUGUACAGUUCAUUAUAUACAUUAAACAUCCCAAUACUCUUGCGUACUCCAAUUACGAGUCACUUUCACCUUAUGCUAGGAGAUAAUGUAUGAUGACUUGCAACUCCUGUACUUGAGAGACAACAGAUUUGCUAUCCAUCAUUUUGAAGUUCAGGAAUCGUGCAACAAGGAAUUUCUUAAUUCCCUUAUCCUCUGUUUUAUAUUUUCGUUCAAUUGCCCCCACAGUUCCUUUGAUGUCUUGGCUCUACUAUAGACAUUAUAGAGGUUGUCUUGGAGACCACUUAGAAUAUAGUUCCUGCAAAAGAAAUCCGAAUGUUUCCAAGCUUCUAAAAUAACGAAGUGAUCUUUGUACAAGGUUCUCUCGGGCACCUCAGGAGAGUCUUUUCUAGUGAACCGUUGUAGACAUAAAGUGGUGAGGUAAAAGAACAUCUUUUGUUGCCACCGCUUGAAGUCAAUGCCAGAAAAUUUUCUGGGCUUCUUCGCCGGUGCCAUCGUUGGCGGAGCAUUUGCGUGACUUGAUGUGGCAAUAUUAUUUGCCCUCAUAGACGUUGUCGCAUCCAUCAUUUGACUUUCAGUUGUCAUUUUUACUGUCACCACAAGAUAGAAAUUUAGUAUUUUUCAGAAUACUAUUAAUAAAGUUAAAUAACUUUAAACUCUUCUUCUUGUUUCUAGUUAACGAUGAAAUUUUUAUUACUUCGAAUCGUCAACUGAGUGAACCUUAACUUGUGAUGAAUAUUUUAUGUCUUCUAAUCACUAGUUAAAUUCAAGCGGAGUAGAAAGCCUAAGCUUUAAUCUCCAAAAAUAAGCAAUCCAGAUUCUGCACGAAUUAUUCCUUAAGAUUGUUAUAUCCACAAUAUAUUCGGGUAUGCAGAAUAUGUAUAUUGUAAAAACAACUUCAACUCAAGUUCAAGUAUGAACAAGAACACAAUGAAGUAUCAAAUACCCCCAACACAAGAUCAAAAUGACCUUUCCAAGAGGUAUAUUUAUUUUUUUAGAAAAUAAAGAUGAAACAGAAAUAGCUAAGGCCAAGUCGUCCGAAUUCACGAACUUUCCUUAAGGAAUAACUCCCCUCACUGUACCUGAGGUUAUGGAAUCUUCCUUUUAGGAUAAAAUGGCCUUCAAUCUGACUAUAACGGUACCACAAAUAGGUGGAUUCUUCGAACACACUCACGGUUUGAAUGAUCACACUUAGAGUAUUUUUAAGACAAGAAGAAUGUUUUUUAAUCUAAAAAUUUCUGUCUUUUCUAUCUCUAUUUUGUGGAUGAAAACCAGGUUAUUUAUAGCCAAAUGAUGCCUCUUUAGAGUGGAGGCAAUGAUUCAAUCCAAAGGUUGCACCUUUGCUGUAAAUUCAUGUCUGUUCAUCAAAGAUUCCAUCCUUUCAUGAACAGUCAUAUCUUUCCAUGAAUUAGUGUGUCUUUUGCUGAAUGGUUGCAUCUAUUUAUUUAACCAGUGCAUCAUUUCAAUUAAAUAACAGAAACUAGUGCACCAGUUUUGAAGCAAUGCAACAUUUUUGAAGCAGUGUAACUGUUCUGCAUCACUGUUCAUGCGUCACUGUUCACAUAAAACAGUAGCAUCACAUCUCUGUUACUACAUGUAAAUUGAGGAUUAAAACUCGGAAUACUUCCUGCGCUUUUCAUCAUUGUUCAGAUUUUGUCAAAUAAAAUUUGUCCAAAAAAAAAGAUCUCAUCGAUCGAUCAUUUGACAAAUCUAAAUCCAAAUCGAAAAAUUAAAUCCGAAGCCGAGCCGAGCGAGCGACGAUGAUGGCGCGAGGUAUCUUUAUUUCCUUACCUCACUUACCAUGUGGAGCAAGUGUUUCUCAUUAUAAACACUCUGAAGUUCUAUUCUUCCACCAAUGUGGGAGAAAGAGUAAACUUGCCAAAAUUGAGUACAUUUUCCAUUUUUGGUGUUAACUCAAUUUUUCUCUUCCACUAGAUUUCUCUAUUUUCCAUUCAACACACUUUCAUUACUGUGAACCCAACAAUCCCCCACAUGAAUGGGGAAUAGCUAUUUUUUGUAAAACUUUUACGGACAAGUAUGUGAUCAUUAACCAAAGACUGAUUGCAUCUGAAUAAGUGGGUUUCCCUUUGAACUUUCCGUAGUGAACAUGCAUCGGAUGCACUCGGUCAAUUGGUAGAUUUGAUAUCUUUGAACCGUCUAUCUUUAAUGUAAACCUAGAUAACACAUGUCACAUAACCAGCCUUUUACCAUUUUAUGUUUCUUACGAUUUUGUUCUUUUCAGCCAUGAACACGUUCCGAUUUUUAUAAGAGCUUAGAGAAUAGGCGUUUACUAACAUUCUCUUUAAAGCGGCUUCCACUUCGCCCACACAUAGGUGAUUUCUAAAUGUUCAAUCCUAUAGAUUAAACUAUUUGGUCAAAUCUGCCAAAUUUAGAUAAUCAUUAAAAGACUUUUCGCCUUAAGUCUUAUCCUUGUUUACUAACUAUUGUCUACAUCAUGAGAAUGGGUUGGGUAAUUGACAAUGUUGAACCCGUCAAACACAACUUUGUUUGAUCUCCUUGAACCUAGCUCUUGGGAUCUCUAGUCUGCUAGGUAGAGUUACCGCCAUGCUGACUUGUCCUAGGCCUUAAACCCAUUCCCUUGGAUGUCCUUUUGUACCCCUUCUCUAGAUAGGCCUUUUGUAAGUGGAUCCGACACAUUAUCAUUUGACUUUACAUAGUCUA